GGAGAGGAGAGGAGAGGAGAGGAGAGGAGAGAAGAGAAGAGAAGAGAAGAGAAGAGAAGAGAAAGAAGAGAAGAGAAGAGAAGAGAAGAGAAGAGAAGAGAAGAGAAGAGAAGAGAAGAGAAGAGAAGAGAAGAGAAGAGAAGAGAAGAGAAGAGAAGAGAAGAGAAGAGAAGAGAAGAGAAGAGAAGAGAAGAGAAGAGAAGAGAAGAGAAGAGAAGAGAAGAGAAGAGAAGAGAAGAGAAGAGAAGAGAAGAGAAGAGAAGAGAAGAGAAGAGAAGAGAAGAGAAGAGAAGAGAAGAGAAGAGAAGAGAAGAGAAGAGAAGGGCUGGAAGGGACCAUCAAAGAUCAUAGAUUCCAACUACCUGACUACUUCAAGACCAACCAGAAGUUAAAGCAUACUAUUUAAGGGCAUUACCAAGAUGUUUCUUGAACACUGCCUGUAAGAACCUGCUGUCAUCCCAUGAUUACAAACAUGGAGAGAAAAAAAGAAGUAGGCAUACACUUCACUUUAAAUCCUAAUUUAUUUUUUUGUGACAAAUAUUUGAAGGCAAGAGCCUCAAAGCCAAAGAGGGAAUGAGUCACUACAAUAGCUUCUCAUUAAACUAAUGACAAGAUGUAUAAAUAGAGGGAGCUCACUUGGCUAAUGUUCUUGUCAUUCGCAACACUAAACCGCAGGAAAUUAAAACAGAGAAAAGUCAAAUGGUGUGCCUUGGACUGGGUGUUCAAUUAACCUUAAAUUAGAAAUGUUAACAUUUGAUUAAAAAUAAAACACACACAAAAAUCAGUUAUGCAUUUGCACCAGGUGCCCUGUAGCUGGAUAGGGUGAAGGAAGUGAAAACAAAUAUCAAGCUCUGUUGUCAACGCUUUGGAGUGAACAUGUACUGGGUAAUAUCACCUCAGAUCAGCUUAAUUUUAAACCUGGUGAGUUCCUCAUUCUUAUUGUUCUCUUCUUAAUGCCAAGUCAAUUACCCAGACACCUCCUCAGGUUACAUAGGUGGAAGCAGUUCUGAAAAAUAUCUGCUCAGUAAAGGCCAUUGUUUGCCACUCUGACACCACAAAAUCAACCUGCCAGGAAAAAAAGCAUUCUGAAGGACCCCACUUUAAACCUCACUUCAGAGAAUACUCUGAUAAUACUCUUGAUUUUCAGAAGAGAAGUGGAUAUGAAUGAUCCUCAACUGUUUCAAAGGGAUUAAAAAAGGCAAAAUUACUGAAUUUUAAAUUGAAAUUUUUAGUUGAAAUAAAUGGAAAACAUGAUCAUUAUUCUGAAACACUCUGAUAGUAUUUCAUUUUAAGUGGUGAUUGUCUAUUCCCAAUAUUCUUGAUGAAAAUGUGAACAUAGUAGUACUAAAACCAGAGAGUUUUUAAGCAAAGAUUGAGUCUUCUCUGGAGAUGAGUAAUUUCAUAAUAUCUCUUUGCCUGAUUGUUUUAAAUUUUAGAGCAAUUUCUGUUGAAGUAUGUUGUUAGAGCUUUGGCAAAAAAAAAAAAAAAAAAGAAAAGAAAAGAAAAGAAAAGAAAAGAAAAGAAAAAAGAACUUCUUUUUGUCUGAAAGAUGCCUUAAAAAUAGGUGAAGCUUCUUCAGCUCCAUAGCUAAUGCAAAGGAAGUAUGGUAACAUCUACUCCUCAUUCCCUCUCUUCUUCCUAAAGACCAAGCUUUAUUAUAGAAAGAAGAAUAAUUUAGAAUUUUAAAUAUAUUUGUAACAGACAAUAAAGGAAAUCUCUUCUCUACAAAGAUCCCUGGCGACAGAAAAGGAAUGGACUGUAAAAGAACACUAAUAACUGUAUAGAAAUGUGAGACUGACAGAAAAACAGCCCAGCAAAUUAAAUUACAGAACUACCGUAUGUGGUCUUUUCAUUAAAUUUAUCCAUUAAAUAUUGCACAACAUUUCUAUAUGGUAGAACAUCAGAACUGUGCAGUCAUUUGCUCCCAGCAUUUCUCAGCAUGCAGCAGAAAUAUGAGAUUUAUUCUGAGUAACUCUCAGUUACAAGCAAGGCCAUUACCCUUGCAAAGCAAAAUAAAAUAAAAUAAUAAUUAUAAGCAGCUGAAGGUGGUUGGGUGGCCAGGUAGGAGAUGCAGAUGGACUUCAACCUUGGAGGUACAAAUCAAGCUGUCUACUCGUUUCUGGAGAGAGCUAUUUCAAGAGUGGCACGUAGAAUAGAAGGACAACAUAAUUACUGAACACUGUCAAACUGACAUCCAUUUCUUUAUUAAAAUGCAAAUAAACUCUUCAUGUCACAGAUGAUGACUCAUAUAUAAGAUGGUAUUUUCAGGUCAUUGCCAGAGUUGAAUUUUUUGGACCAACAGUUUUCACAAAUUUUAGCACCACUAUGUGACAAUGACAACACUAUAUCUACAUGAAGAUGAUUUAUAGAAGGAUAAGAAAAGGAGUGUGGCAAAUUGCAAGGUGAAAGGAAAAAUCAAGGAAGCAGGAUGAAGUGUGGAGGUUUUGCAGGAAAUGGUGGGAUUGAAAUACUCCAGAAUUGGACUGACAAUAUAUAUAUAUAUAUAUAUAUAGUAAUCCAAAUUCCAUAAUAUACAGAUUUCAUCUGCUGCUAUUUGGAAUUUUUACACUGACUCUUCAGUCAAAAUGCGUAAAUCUGGUGACUUGUAUGCCUGAGAUGGCUCUUGGUCAAAGCUUACAUAAUACCUCUGCACAGGUGGAUAUAAUUACUCAUCGAUUAAUACAUGUAUUUCAUCUACUGAAGAUAAUACUACAGCUUGAAGAACUAUGAACUGAGAGCUUAAUCAACCAUCUAAAUACUUGUGAAUAUAAUUUAUGGAAAUUUCUUAUCGGUCUGAUGCACAGCACAGCAGGAAGGGCAGCAUGCUAUCAGAGCUGGCAGGCUGUGGGAGCUGAGGCCGUCUCGUAUACAGACAAAAGAGAAAUGUUGCACAAUGGAGCAGUUUAAAGAGCAGAAAGAGUCAUACAAGUUCAAAGGAAAAGGGAAUUGAUAACCUUGCUACCUCUUCAUUCUGAUUCAAAGAGAAGAACAGCAUUGGAAGAAGAUUGUAAAGGAUGUUAGAAUCAGUAGAUUGUCAUAACUUGCUUGUCAUAACUUAAAGGUUGUCUGUGAUGUUGGAUUGCCAGAAGAUUAAAUCCUGUACUGGAGGAAUUGAAAUGUUAAAGUGACACUUUUAACAGUGCAUUUGAUGAAAAUGGUGAUGUCUUCUGCAAGAUGCACUGCACAGUGCUACCGUUCUCUUUUCAGCUUUAUAAGAACAAAAUUUUUGGAGAAAGAAAUUGAGGACUUGGAUCAAUGACUGUGGCUCUCACGUUCUACAGAGCCGUAGUGCUCUCACUCUUGAGGACCUGGUGGAAGCAUAAUGAAGUCAAUGGCUGAUUUACCAUUGACUUCCAUAAAAAUUUAUCUCCUGUGAUCUAAGGUAAUGUCCAUGAGUAAGUGGAAGAUUGCUGAAGCAGUUCAUCUCAUCCUUUUAGCUGGCUAAUAGCCAGGAAAUUACAUGAACUGUUGUGUGUAGAACAGAAAUUAUCUGAUCUAACUUCAAAAAUGUUUGGAGGCAUUUACAUGCAUUAUUAUUUGUUGUGAAGCACUCUUCAUAGACACAACUCUGGGAAAGACACGUAGUAAAUCACAGAAUCAUAGGAUCAGGGCAUAAUACAGAUUUAAAAGGAACUCUGGGAGUCUUCCAGCCUCUCUCUAGAAUUAGCACUGAAGCCCACAGGAAUUCUCCCAUCAAUGUCAAUAAGAACAGGACUAAUGUCAUCUUCUGUGAAUUGCUAUAAUCUAGUGUGUUUUUCUACCUUACAUAACUUCCAAAUUUAAAGGUUUGGGUUUUUUUUUUUUUGUUUUGUUUUGUUUUGUUUUUUUUUGAAAAGUACCUCAGAAGGUAACCUGCUGAGCAUCAGCUGUAGAAGAAAAGGUGAUCAGAAAUGGGACAGACAGGUUGAAAAAGGGCAGAGACAACAGGCCCAAGAGAUGUAGCUGAAAAGAAACAGGUCAGGAAGAGAAGACUGGGGAUAGCUUUCCCUUACAUGUUUAAUCUUCACAGUAGUUGAAUCACUUUUUUUUUUUUUAACAGAUAAUACAUAGUGCAGCCAUAUGAUAUGUGUGAUAGUAAGUAUGUCAACUCUGCCUCCUCUUGAGAGACUGAGAUUAAAGAGGUGGAAACUGUAAAUGCUCUGGGAUCUCAGAAUAAUGUUCUUUUCUAUGGGAAUGAAGUUUUUCCAUUUAGGUUUUGCUGAUUAUUACUUCAUGGGAAAGAUAUUACAAUAUCUCACUACUGUUUAUAAGAACCUGUAGGGAAGGAAAAAGUGUUGAGAAGGAGAAGAGCUAAGUCAGUGUAGGAUUUGAAAGAAAAAACUAUAAUUUCCUGGCUGAACUGCAGUAAAAGAAAUCCAAGCACAAAAGGAGGGAUGAGUAAAAUAAUGAGACAAACACAGAUUGGGAGUAUAUUUCAUUUACUAAAAGGUAGGUGCAGAAAGAAGAGAUAAAUACCAGGAUACAUUGGAGUUGCUUUGUAAAUACAACUGUGAGGACUUUGGAAGAGUAAAAAAUGGCAUUAGUAGGGUGUCAGUCAUGUCAUCCUCAGACAGGCACAUUGUCUGGGUAGCUCUCUGGUAGUGCUUGUUCUUCUCCAUUUGGGCACUAGAGGAGCCUAUUUGGACACUCAUCCUAUAGAUGCCUAUGUUGAGACAGAACAAUUAUACCCUCAGGUGGGACUCCUCUUUUCCAGCCUCAGAUAUCAACAGCAUAGAUCUAUAUUUCUAAAGUAAGCAUAUUAGGCUCUCUUUGUGCUCACUGGGGAGAAAUAAGGGCAAAAUCCGUUCGACCUAUUUGUGUCUUAAGCUCAUUUUGUACAAGAUAAACUGUGUCCUAGAGGUGUCUAUUAUGGGAGUUUAUGGUGUCAAGAUCAGGUGUAAAUGUCUGUAUUCCGGACAUCUUAGAACACCACUCUGUAAACAACUUUACCUUGCAGGCAGAUUUCAGAGGUUCAUUAGGUUGUUAGCAACAUCAACGACACUUUCAUAGCCUGGGUCAUCUAAAGGGCACUGUGAUCAUCCAUGCAUCCUUUACUCUGGGCUGGUUUUGGUAUUAGCUACCUUCUCAGCUUUUUUCCAUUCAUCAGGAUCACAGAAUUGUUGAGGCUGACAGGGCCUUCUGGAUCCAUCUGCUCCAGCCCCUUCUCCAGCAGGGACACCCAGAGCAGGGUGCCCAGGGCCACAUCCAGGCAGCUCUGGGAGAUCCACAAGGAGGAGACCUCACAGCCUCGGGGCAGCCUGUGCCAGUGCUCCGUC
rnacentral:lncRNA from 1 species